AUUGAACGCUGGCGGCAGGCCUAACACAUGCAAGUCGAGCGGAUGAAGGGAGCUUGCUCCUGGAUUCAGCGGCGGACGGGUGAGUAAUGCCUAGGAAUCUGCCUGGUAGUGGGGGAUAACGUCCGGAAACGGGCGCUAAUACCGCAUACGUCCUGAGGGAGAAAGUGGGGGAUCUUCGGACCUCACGCUAUCAGAUGAGCCUAGGUCGGAUUAGCUAGUUGGUGGGGUAAAGGCCUACCAAGGCGACGAUCCGUAACUGGUCUGAGAGGAUGAUCAGUCACACUGGAACUGAGACACGGUCCAGACCCCUACGGGAGGCAGCAGUGGGGAAUAUUGGACAAUGGGCGAAAGCCUGAUCCAGCCAUGCCGCGUGUGUGAAGAAGGUCUUCGGAUUGUAAAGCACUUUAAGUUGGGAGGAAGGGCAGUAAGUUAAUACCUUGCUUUUUUGACGUUACCAACAGAAUAAGCCCCGGCUAACUUCGU
rnacentral:rRNA from 1 species